rnacentral:SRP_RNA from 1 species
GCCGGGCGUGUUGGCGUGCGCCUGUAAUCCCAGAUACUCAGGAGGCUGAGGCAGGAGAAUUGCUUGAACCCAGGAGGCGGAGGUUGCAGUGAGCUGAGAUCAUGCCACUGCACUCCAGCCUGGGUGACAGAGUGAGACUCCGUCUCAA